UACGUAGGGGGCAAGCGUUGUCCGGAUUUAUUGGGCGUAAAGAGCGUGUAGGCGGCCAGAUAGGUCUGUUGUGAAAACUCGAGGCUCAACCUCGAGACGCCGAUGGAAACCAUCUGGCUAGAGUCCGGAAGAGGAGAGUGGAAUUCCUGGUGUAGAGGUGAAAUUCGUAGAUAUCAGGAGGAACACCAGUGGCGAAGGCGGCUUCCUGGACACUAACCGACGCUGAGACGCGAAAGCGUGGGGAGCAAACAGG
rnacentral:rRNA from 1 species